rnacentral:rRNA from 1 species
UACGUAGGGGGCAAGCGUUGUUCGGAAUUACUGGGCGUAAAGGGCGCGUAGGCGGCACGGCAAGUCGGGAGUGAAAGGCCUGGGCUCAACCGAGGAACUGCUUUCGAGGCUGCCGAGCUAGAGUGCGGAAGGGGCAACUGGAAUUCCCAGUGUAGCGGUGAAAUGCGUAGAUAUUGGGAAGAACACCUGAGGCGAAGGCGGGUUGCUGGGCCGACACUGACGCUGAGGCGCGAAAGCCAGGGGAGCAAACGGG